rnacentral:rRNA from 1 species
UUCGGUUUGGGUGGCGGACGGGUGAGUAACGCGUAAAGAACUUGCCUCACAGCUAGGGACAACAUUUGGAAACGAAUGCUAAUACCUGAUAUUAUGAUUAUAUGGCAUCGUAUAAUUAUGAAAGCUGAAUGCGCUGUGAGAGAGCUUUGCGUCCCAUUAGCUAGUUGGAGAGGUAACGGCUCACCAAGGCGAUGAUGGGUAGCCGGCCUGAGAGGGUGAUCGGCCACAAGGGGACUGAGACACGGCCCUUACUCCUACGGGAGGCAGCAGUGGGGAAUAUUGGACAAUGGACCGAGAGUCUGAUCCAGCAAUUCUGUGUGCACGAUGAAGUUUUUCGGAAUGUAAAGUGCUUUCAGUUGGGAAGAAAAAAAUGACGGUACCAACAGAAGAAGUGACGGCUAAAUACGUGCCAGCAGCCGCGGUAAUACGUAUGUCACGAGCGUUAUCCGGAUUUAUUGGGCGUAAAGCGCGUCUAGGUGGUUAUGUAAGUCUGAUGUGAAAAUGCAGGGCUCAACUCUGUAUUGCGUUGGAAACUGUAUAACUAGAGUACUGGAGAGGUAAGUGGAACUACAAGUGUAGAGGUGAAAUUCGUAGAUAUUUGUAGGAAUGCCGAUGGGGAAGCCAGCUUACUGGACAGAUACUGACGCUGAAGCGCGAAAGCGUGGGUAGCAAACAGGAUUAGAUACCCUGGUAGUCCACGCCGUAAACGAUGAUUACUAGGUGUUGGGGGUCGAACCUCAGCGCCCAAGC